GACGAACGCUGGCGGCGUGCCUAAUACAUGCAAGUCGAGCGCAGGAAACCGUUCCGAACCCUUCGGGGGGACGACGGUGGAAUGAGCGGCGGACGGGUGAGUAACACGUAAAGAACCUGCCCAUAGGUCUGGGAUAACCACGAGAAAUCGGGGCUAAUACCGGAUGUGUCAUCGGACCGCAUGGUCCGCUGAUGAAAGGCGCUCCGGCGUCGCCCAUGGAUGGCUUUGCGGUGCAUUAGCUAGUUGGUGGGGUAAUGGCCCACCAAGGCGACGAUGCAUAGCCGACCUGAGAGGGUGAUCGGCCACACUGGGACUGAGACACGGCCCAGACUCCUACGGGAGGCAGCAGUAGGGAAUCUUCCACAAUGGACGAAAGUCUGAUGGAGCAACGCCGCGUGAACGAUGAAGGCUUUCGGGUCGUAAAGUUCUGUUGUAAGGGAAGAACAAGUGCCGCAGGCAAUGGCGGCACCUUGACGGUACCUUGCGAGAAAGCCACGGCUAACUACGUGCCAGCAGCCGCCGUAA
rnacentral:rRNA from 1 species